rnacentral:rRNA from 1 species
CAAGCAAAAUGAGUUUUAGUUUGAACCCCCGAAACUAAGUGAGCUACUUCGAAAUAGUUUUAAGAACAAACCCGUCUCUGUAGCAGUAGAGUGGGAAAAUUUCCAAGUAGAGGCGAUAUACCUACCGCACUUAGAGAUAGCUGGUUGCUUAAGAAAAGAAUAUAAGUUCAACCUUAAGUUUCUUAAUUACAUGAAAAAAUAUAUAAAACUUAAGAGCUAUUCAAAUAAGGCACAGCUUAUUUGAAACAGGAUACAACCUUCGAUACUGGGUAAUAAUUAAGAUCAGGUUCUAAGUGGGCCUAAAAGCAGCCACCUCUUAAAAAGCGUUAAAGCUUAUCACCUAUUCUACUUUAAUACCUUAAUAUACCUAUAACCCGUCAUCAGUACUGAGCAAUUCCAUAAAUAUAUGGAAGUUAUAAUGCUGGAACUAGUAACAAGAAAUAGACUUUCUCCAAAAUGUAAGCCUAAGCCACAAUAGACACACUACUGGCAGUUAACGCAAAUGAACAGACUAUAACAACUUUAACAAGAGAACCCUAUAGCCCUUAGCGUCAACCUUACACCAGAACAUUCCUGGAAAGAUAAAAGAAAAAGAAGGAACUCGGCAAAAUUUAGCCC